AAGUGUUAUCUGACUGCUUUUGCAUCAUAAUUUUAUUUAAUCUUAAAAUAUAAGCAAUGAAAGAGAUAAGAGCCCUUUAAAUAUUUAGUUUAGCUUCUAAUCACAGUAUGAUUGCAAAAUAUGAAUUCAGUAUGCCAAAGAUGUGCUUGUGAUGUUUGAAUGUUUGGGAUAUAAAAAUAUGUGUGUUUGUGUGUCUUGCUUGUUUUGAGGUAUUGUUAUUUCUCUGGGACUUAACUUAGCCUCUACUGCUGUUAAGAGUGCUUUAGAGGUUAUAUAAGUUCCCGAUAUUGAUUUCCAUUCUUCAACUUUAUCAGUUGGUAAUUGAUAUGCGGCCAGUUGAUUUUCAUGGUUGGUACAUUUUGUUCUUCUGUGUAGAUUAAAUAUUUUGUUUUUUCUUUUAUAUAAAUGUUUUUGUUUUCAUGGGAUAAUGCAAUUUCUUUUCACUUCUCUAGUAAAUGUGUUGUUAUGAUACUGUGAAAAUGGAUCUCAUAUCAUAUAUUUGUUUCUGGAGAACAUAUUUAUAUUUUUUAUUCUGAACUUUUUUUCAUAGUCACGCCACGACUUGUUUGGAAAGCAGAUUGCUCGUUUUAUAUUAUGUUUCAUUAAUCAUAAUCAUUACUCUUUUUGGUGUCAUUAGAGGGACUUAGUUGAACUCUCUUUUACUGUGUCAGGUUUAAUAGAUAGCAUCCUAGUCCUGAUAUUUAUUUCCUUUUCCAUUUUAUAUUCCUGAUCAACCGGGUCAUUUACCCGCAGUUGAUUUCCUUGGGUGGCUCAUAAUUUUAUAUAUGUACAUGUAUAUUGUAUCAUAUACCGACGAAUCCUAGACAAAUUCAACACUCCCGUUCUAAGGGAUAUUCGGGUCUUAGUACGACCCAAUUUAGGAAGCAUCUCUUAUAGAAAUUGUAGCUUGAGAUGUUAUUUUUCUAAUGAAUCCAACCUCGCUCGAUUUUUUUAAAUGAUGAAAAUGAAAAAAAAUCAUUUUUUUAUUAAAAAAACCUAAAGAAGGACUGAAGUCAAAUCAGGUUAAUCUUCAAAAUUUAUGACCCGGGUCAUAAGACCGGGUUACCCCAUGGAAUGCAAACCCGAAAAAAUUACAAAGCACAAUUUCCAGUCAUCUAGAUUUAAAAAAUAAAAUAGAUAACAAUUAAAAUAAUAAGGAUCAAAUUUGGUAUAAAAAAUAUAUUAAAUAAGACAACGAGGGAUGAAAUUAAAAAAUAAAAAAAAUCAAGAAAAUGAUAAAAAAAAAAUAAAAAGAAUGAAGAUCAAAUUUGGUAUAAAUUAAAUGAAAUAAAGUAAUGAGGGAUUGAAUCAAAUCCGUUAUAAAAAUUAAAUGAAAUAAAGUAAUGAUGGAUGAAAUUGAGAAAUAAAAUAAAUCAAGAUAAGGUUAGAAAAUCAAGAAAUAACAAUCAAGAUAAUGAGAACCAAAUAUGAUAGAUAAAAAAAUUAAAGGAGGAUGAAAUUGAAAAAUAAAUUCAAUUUUAUAAACUAUUUUAAAUAAAAUCAAUAGUACUCAAAAUAAUAAGGAUAAGAUUUGAAUGAAAAAAAUUGAAGAGUUGGUUGAGAAAUUACAGGGGUGGACCUCAUCGUGUCAACCACCUUUAAAAAAAAUAAUAUUUUUAUUUAUUUCAUUACUAGAGUGCUUCUCAAUCAACUUGUUUAUUACAAAAAAAAACAUGAUGAAAAGACACAAAAACCCCUAAACGCCAAUUCUUUUUUUUUUUUAAGAGUAAAUGGAUCAUUUUAUUGUUCUUUAAAAAGUGAAAAUACAAAAAAGCUCCUAAAGCCAAGUUUAAAAAAAAUAUAUCUUUUAAGAAUGAUUAAGUCAUUUUACUAUACUUAUAAAAUAUGAAAAGACCUCAUUGUCCUUGUACAAUUAAAAAAUGACUUUUAGACAAUAAAGUAAAGAUUGUUCCACUACUAAUAGAGGGUUUAAAGAUUUUUCUUUAAAUUAUAGAAUGAUCAUUUCACUGUUUUAAUCCAUAAUGACUUUAAUUCUAAUAUAUAAUGAAAAACUAAGCAAUUACUGUAUUUUUAUAUGAAAAUCCUUUUUUAUUUUAAUAAUAAAAAUAAUGGAACGAGGAUGAAAAGAUUGGAUUUUUUUAUAUUUAUAAUCUAUUUAUUCAAAUCACAAUAAAUGUUUUUAUCCUAUCACUAGUAAAAAAAACACAUUUUUCUACCAAUCCACGUGACAACAUCCUUAUUAAUUAUUUCUUUUGCUUUUUGUUUAUAAUGCGGCUAACAAAACCCUUUUAGAUUGUCAUUAGGCCCUGCGUGCUGGAUCAAAAGCCAAUUAUUGCAUUAAAAAAAGUGAGUUUUGUUAUUUUUUCCAGCAUAUGAAAUGGUGACUAGUAAUGAUUUGGUAUUUUUUUUCCUUUUGUUUUCGCCGACAUAUUUAAGAUUUAUCAAAAUUUCUACCGAAAUUUCAACAAAGUCUUCCCUAUACUGGGAAAAUCUCAAGUUAUCGAAAAUUUAUCUUGUACUCAUUUUAUGCUCAUUCCGCAAUCAUAACAUAUUCAUACUGCAUCGUAACCACUAUCAUUACUAGUCACAAGCAUGAUAGCUCACAUAUUCAUUUUUUCUUCUCAUUUACAAGCGCAUACAAAAUGGUAGUCAAACAUGGAUAAACAACAUUAAUAUAUUAAUAAGCAUAAAAUAUUAAGAAUCUUGAAAUCUCUAUGAUUAAUAUAAAGAGAUACUAAUACAAUUCUAGUCAUAUAAUUACCUAGGGCAGCAUGCAUUGACAUUUUUUUUUAAUUUCUAAUUCAUACAAAAGGAACUAGAAACACUAAUUUCCUAAUUUAUACAAAAGGAAUUAGAAACAUGAAUUUCCUAAUUCAUACAAAAAGAAUUAGAAACCUAGGACGCUACUCCUGGCUUGGCUUGAAUGUGACGGACUUGCAAUAUCAAAAUAUGAAAAUAAUUAUAUUAAAAGUAAAAAUACAGAAGAGAUGAGGGAGAGUCACAAAUACAUGUAUAUACAUAUAUAAUUGACUACUCGAUGGUACACAAUCAUAGUUUUCCUGGAAACCCACACCUAAAAUUUUCCUUUAUUACAUCUAGAGCCUAUCAUUCCGUAACUCACUUAUGAUUUUUCUUUUUACGAUUAUUAUCCAUUAUUCUUCACCGGGUACAUCCAUCUUACUACCCUAUCCCAAAUUUAGGAAGGUUACUACCGACAUUAAUAAUUUCUAUUAGUGUCAUUAAUUGCCUUUACCAGGACUUACUAAUCAAAUCCUUAGUAAUGUCAGCACCAACUUACUGGUUGCUGCCAUUAACUAUUUCCAACCCGAAAUAAUAAAUCAAUUCUUUCCUGCCUUACCUUGGAGAUUUCUCCGGUAAUGCUGAUGCUAAGAUCUUUUGACAUCAUUAGCUUCCUUUUUGGGAAGCUAAUCAAAUUAUCCUGGGUUUGCCGAUAUCGACAUUGUCUGUCGGUAUCAUUAACUACUCUUAACCCGAAUAGUCAAUCAAGUUCAACAUUCAUUAUAUUUCCAUCAAGAUCAUGCUGAUGUUAGCAAAACUUGCUAACAUUAUUAGCCACCCAUAUUUGGGAUCGACUAAUCAAGUCCAGAGGUGGUUGUUUUAGAUUCAUUAUUUGAAAUCGAAGUCCAUAAGUGCAAGUCCAUAAGUGCACAACUAAAAUCAAAUUUCAAUCCAUGUUCGUUUCAUCAAAUCUUUCAUUUCUUUAACUUUAUAAUAAAAUAGAAUACUAGUUUCACUCUUAACUAAGGAGAGUAUAGGUGUGAAACACCUACUUGCCACUGAUGCUCGAUUUGCGCUCCUUUGUUGUUGUACCCCCCCGAUGGUUACUCUUGAAUUCGUAAGUAAAUCACAUUAAUUCAUAUCCAAUUUUCAUUUUGCAAACGGCAAGGCAACAACAACAACAUUUACUCUUCACGUUUCAUUGUUUUAGAUCAUUAUGCACAUCAUCAAUUUCAUUUUCAAAUGUGGUUUACCCCCUUCCGAUGUCAAGAUUCGAUGUUAGAAAAAUUUUAAUAGGAAGGAAACCGAUUUUUUCCCUUAUCACGGAUAACAUUUCCCAUUUUAUCAUUUCUCACUGAAUCUGCUAGCAGGGACAACAGUUCAACCUUCCUUCAUAUAUUUACCUAUAUUCGGAGCUUUAGAGCUCUAAAUUGAGCGAGGUUGGAUUCAUUAGAAAGAUAACAUCUCAAGCUACAAUUUCUAUGAGAGAUGUUUCCUAAAUUGUGUCGUCCUGAGACUCGAAUAUCCUCUAGAACGGGAGUGACGAAUCUGUCCAGGAUUCGUCGGCGAUUCCUAAGUGAGUUUUCUACUAUAACUGGUUCAUGCAUGAAAAUAUAUAACACACCAGAAUUCUUCUUCUUUCCCUCCAUUUGGCUCUUGGCCGAGCUUAGUCUAAAGGGACUAAGGAUUUCCUUUUUCUUUCUAGCUGAUUUUUCUUACCUCAUUAACUCCUUGUCCACAUUCUAUACAUACUAUAAGUGUUCAUCAACUUAAAUUUUAGAAUUCCUUUCCUUCCCCAUUCCAUCCUCACAUGGCCGGCCACUCAAGCUUUUGAGUCAAUGAUUUUUGUUUAACAAUCUUAUGUGUUUUUCAUGUUUAGAACAUCUUCUGUUAGCUUAACUAACCUCAUUCUAACAAUUUCUACAUUUCCCCCAAAUUUUCCUUCAAGAACCUUAAUUUAUAAAAUCUGAAAUUGGUGCAUAAUUCCUACUUAAUUGUUAAUUUAUUUUACACCAUUAAGUCUAGUGUCUUGAAAAAUACCAUCUUCACCUUUAUAUCCAAAUGAAUUAGACAUUUUUAAAUGUUUUUGUUCGAAUAAAUGGAGUCUUAACUUAGUAUGUGUUUAAUAUUAUAAUAGUUUUUGUGGUUGUAAUUUUAAAAAAAAUAGGUAAUUUUUUUUAAAAAAUAGGUAAAAAUAACAUUUUUAGUUGUAAUUUUUUAAAAAAAUGUUUAAUUUAAACUAUACAUGUAAAAUAAAUAAAAAAUAUUAUUUUAGUUUAUAUAAAAGUAAGGUUUGAACAAAACUACAUGUGACCCCAGUGUAAAAAAAAAAAAAAACCUAUAUGACUAACAAAACUAUUCUUUCUAAGUAGUUUGACAAAAAAAACAACUACUGUACUAAACGGUUUCUAUUGCGUAUCCAAUAAUUUUAAGAGGAUACGACAUCGUUUAUCAUUCUCUGCGUUGUUCAAGGAGGAGAAACCACCAUCCCCCACUGACAGAGAGUCUUGGAAAGAGAGGAGAAAAUUAUCUCUCCAAGAAAAUGGCGGACCUCACCUCAAACUCUAGUAAGAUGGCUACUCUUAAGACUAAACAGUGUCUAAACCUCAUAACUCGAUUCAUCAACUCUCGAACUCCACCUUUUCAUUACAAAAAUACCCGCACUCUCCAAACCCUAGCUUUCGAAGAAAUCCAAUCUUCACCCAACAAACCUGACGCGCCUACAGCUUUCAUUCUCCACGGGCUCUUAGGUUCUGGUCGCAACUGGCGUUCUUUCUCUCGCAAUCUCGCUUCCUCUCUUUCUGGUACACUAUCGCUCUCUUACUUUCUUUGUUCUUUUUCUAUAUUUUGGAUUCUUGAUUUUGAUUUGGUUAUUUACUAUAGAGUGGAGGAUGGUGCUUGUGGAUAUGAGGAACCAUGGCAAAUCUGUUGAUAUAGAGGGAUUAGACCCACCUCAUAAUAUGUUUAAUGCGGCUAUGGAUGUGGCUAAUUUGGUGAAAGAGAAAGGUUGGGAAUGGCCCGAUGUUGUUAUUGGUCAUUCUAUGGGAGGCAAAGUUGCUUUGCAAUUUGCUGAGAGCUGCACUCGUGGUGAUUAUGGUCAUUCUGUUUCUUUUCCUAAACAGGUAUUCUUUUUCAUUGGAAGAUUCAUUACUAUCUUUUAACAAACUGGUGUGGUCUUCUUUCUAUAGUGGAAAUUGAAGUGGGCGUUUUGUCAUUCUUGUGAAAUGAAUUGACGGAUUUUUUUUUCUUGCAUGUAUUUCUCAAUAAUUGGCUGCACUGUAAACUAUAUAACGGAAUGAAACUUGAAUCAAUGUUGAUCCUUGAAGGGAUCUGAUGUUUUCAUGGGUUGUUAGGUGAAGUGUGUGUAUGUUGAAUAAUGAGAUGAAUUAUAUAGUUUCACUGUUUGUUUGUUUUAGCUAUCGUAUCUGCUGUUUAAGUUGAUCAUGUGAAGUGAUUUUGAAUGAUGGCAUUUCACUUCUGCUCUUGUAGUUAUUUUCAUCUGUCAUUACUGAUGAAUGUGUGUUCCGUGUCUUAUACCGGUCAAUUAAGUAUAUAAAUCUUUCUGGGUUUGUUUGAUAAAUUCUUGUUGUGUUUGGGCAUGAGGUCAUUUCUGUUCUUUAAUGUUUAAUUCCUUGUGCAGAACAGCUGUGGGUACUGGAUUCUGUGCCUGUAGAAGUAAGUCCUGAAUAUAGUGAUGGAGAAGUUGAAAAAGUUUUGAGGACCUUGCAUAGUUUACCCUCACCAAUCCCAUCACGAAGGUAAAUGUUUCUAUCAUGUUAUUGAUCUGACAUUUUAUUUUUGUUUUUGGUUUUACUUGCAUGAUUACUGCAUUUUGUGGGCCAAGUAUCACCUUAUUUAGGAAAUAUAGAUGCAGGCAUCGGCAUAGUUGUUUGUUUUUGGAACUAGAUUACCAUUUUGUAAUCCAAUUUCCAAAUGAGGAUUAGUUCUCAUAUAUGAUAAUUGUUAUAGUUCUGGUGGAAAUUAAAGUUCUUAAUCUUCUUCAUAGGCAGAACCCUGGAAUUGGAGCAGAUCAAUAGGUGCUCAUGCUGCACUCAUGUAUUCACUAAUGUGAUAUAGACCAUUAUUUAAAGCCUGGAAUUACUCUACUUUCUGGAGCUCAAAUUCAUAUGGAAUCUGUUAAUAAAGGGCCCUCAUCUCUGAUAUGAAUAUGAACUCCUGUAGAAGUGCAGGACUCACGACAUCAAACAAUUGAACAGAUGUUUAAAUACAAAGUUUGCCAUAUAAGAAAAUAUCUAUUAAACCAAUCACAAAAAUUCCAGUUACAAUAGCUAUUAUCUAAAGAGGAAUCCUUUUAAUAUUACUAGCCAGUUCCCUCCAUGUUAAUGAAAUGGUCUUGCUACAACAUAAACAAUCAUAGAUAAUUAUGUGAUGAUAUUCUUCCUACAAGAUGAGAGAACUUUCUCUUAUUUAAUACUUUCUUCUAGGGAUGACAAUCUAACUCAAAUAUGAUGGAUACUCACUAACCUGAGUGAGUGGGUUUUUUUGGAUAGUUAUUGUUUCAGAUUGAGUAUGAAUAUCUAAAUUUCUUUACUCAAUGGCUAAUAGUUAGGGUAUGAAUAUUGUUAAACUCAACCCAAAAUCUGAUCCAAACCCAAACCGAAAUAUAUACGUUGGAAUUUUAUAUAUAUAAUACUCUUUUAUUUUAUAUGGAUUACUAAAUAAGAAUCAGGUAACAAUUGCCUGAAGCUUGAUGAAUUGAGUAUGGAUAUUAAAAUUUCUUAUAUAAUGGGUAAUGGAUAGAGUUGGGCUAUUUGUUUUGUAUAUAAGUUUGAAUAUGUUAGAAAUCCAAUCCGUGAGUAUCCAUUGCCAUCCUUAUCUUUUCUUUUCUUUUAUUUAAUUAGGCUCCAUUCCACAUCUGUCACAUUGAAUCAAGACCAGGCAUAAUCUUUGUUUCUGCUUAUUUAAUUCCCUUCUCCACUCUUUAGCCUAGACAAUGUAAUGUUGGACAUUUAGCAUGAAAUUGCAUGAUCAAGUAUUGCUUGAAGCUUUCAGCUAAGCCCAAAAUCUCCUUAUCUUUUAUGAAUCGUGGAUAAAAUGCACAAGUUGUGGUAUUUCUUGGAAUGGAAUUUCUAUUAGAAAACAUCAUCUGGGAGAGUAAAUCAAUUUAUAUCAUUCAUGAAGGAUGAGCAAGCAGAUACAAGAGUAUAUUAUGCUUUAGGUUCAGUGUCUCUGUGGCUCCCAGUUUUUUCACGGUAUCAAAUUAACCCCCCCUCCCCCGGGAUGAUUAUGGUUUCAGCUGGCUUGUGAACCACAUGAUUCAACUUGGUUUCUCAAAAUCAUUAUCAGAAUGGAUUGGAAGCAACCUCAAGAAAUCUGGAGAGCAAGAGAGUUGGGCCUUUGAUCUCAAAGGUGCUAUCCAGAUGUUCAACUCUUACAGGUCAACCUUUAUUUUUUUUUAUCGAAUCAAUCAAAUUUAAAUGCCUUCCUUUGUGGAAUAUAAAUAAUGACAUUGACGGUCUAAAUAGUGAAUAUAAAAAUUUUGUAGGGAGACUUCAUAUUGGUCUUUGCUGGAACAUCCACCAAAAGAAAUGGAGAUAGGGCUAGUGGUUGCAGAGAAGAGUGACCGCUGGGAUCCAGAUUUAAUUCAGCGACUUGAAAGCCUUUCUAGCCGGACCGGGGAUGAAUCUGAGGGGAAGUUCUCGCUUCAUGUUCUUCCAAAUUCAGGGCACUGGGUUCAUGUGGACAAUCCAAAGGGACUUCUUGAGAUUGUGACUCCCAGGAUGGCUUCCCUUUCGACAUAAUCGUAUGGAUUUUAGGUUGUGAUUUGUAAGUCAGAUUUGCUAUAAAAGUAUGAUCAAAUUACCAGUAUUCCAGAUCAUUUGGAUAGUACUGUUUUUUCCCACUGUGAUGCAAGAGGUUGAUUUUUUCUAGUCAUGCUUGAACAAUAUGAAUAAUUGAUCUUUUCUUUGCAAGUAAAUGUUUGGGAAUGGUUAAGUGCCUAAUAAAAAACAACCAUAACGGAAGGCAAAUUACCUGUAAUAUUUGCUUUCAAUUUUUGAAUUUUUAUUUUUAUUUUUUUAAAGACUAUUUAAUGUCUGUUAGUUAACAAUACUCUUCAUAUACUUGUAGAUGAUUUUCUUAGAUGAUUUUCUUGGGUGGUGUUUGCAUCUGUGAAUGCUUGUAUCUAUGUGACAUAUUUAAAUUGUGAUACCUCUAUUUUCCUUCCGUUGGUGUGAUAACAUAUACUUGUUUGGCUGCUGACUAUAGAAAUAAGUGUGACUAUAACAAUUAACCAAAAAAAAAAAAAUUUAAAGGAGAAGGGGGGGUUUUACUAUACCUUAUCUCACACAAUACUAUUUUUUAGAAUACUAUUUUUUUUAUUUUUUUCUCUAUUUUUUUUAGUUUCAAUUUUAUCUUUUCAUGUUGUGGACUACAUAUUUAAUAUAUUAACUUGAUUGGUUGACUCGAGUUUUUUUUAAUUGAUUGAGAAUUAGAUUUCGUGAUGUCUCAGUCUAUUUUUUAUAAGGUUAUUCUCAUCUCAUGACUCCAGUUAUGAGUUUAGCGAGUUAACUUUAGUUGACUUGAGUUUUUUUCCUGCUCUUUUUAAUUGAUUUUUUUUUCAAUUGCAUCUUUUAACAUUAAGUUGAUUGAGAUUUAAAUUUCAUAAUUUGUUUUAAUUUGAUUUCAAUUGUUAUCCUGGUCUCAUGAUUUGGAUCGUGAGUUUAUUAAGUUAACUUGAUUUAUUUUUUUGAUUUUUUUAAUUGAUUUUUUUCAGUUUCAUCUUUAAAAGUUUUAUUAUUAGGUUUGUUGAAAAUUAAGUUUUUUUUAUUUGUUAUAAUUUAUUUUUUAUAGAGUUAUAUAAUCAUUCUAUUUUUUUAUUAAUUUAUUUUUUCUCAACAAAAAAAUAUGGGUUUUUUUUAGCAAUGUAUUUAUUUCUUCCUACCCUUCUUGAGGCUGGUCGUCUCCCCUCCCUGUGUUCCUUCUUAUUGAAAAUCGUUGAUCAAUCUGUUUUUUUUUCUCCACCUUUUCCUUUUAGGAUUUGCAAAAGCUCUUCCCCUUCUCUCCAUGUUCUCUUAUCCUCUCUCUAAAAAAAAAAAAUGUCAAAAUAUUCAUAUCUUAAUUGGUCAGAUCUUAAAUUUGAUUUUUAGAAGUUAUCAGUACCACAAAUCUCAUAAUCACUGAAGAUUGAUCGUUAAUUUCAGGGUUUUGAGGAAUUAUUCGAGAUACGUGUAAAUUGAUCUGGAUAUAAAAAAAAAAAAAAAAAAAAAAGGAAAAGAGUGCCCCCUCAACAGUCCAUUAAUCCUUUAGUUUAUUUUUUCUUGACAAUGCAUUUAAUGCCUAUUAGUUUAUCACCCCCACCAUCCAUUAAGCAAAAUCCAUUAAUCCUUUAGCUUUUUUGUGUGAAUAUUAAAUAAAUAACUAAAUUUAUUGUAUUUAUUGCCCAGCAGCCAAGAAGUUGUUCUUUUAGCACCGUGGUAAUCCACAUUGAAAUUGGAUGUGGGUGAACAGGUUUUUCCCACACCCUUCAGUGUUUUUUUUUUUUAAUGUAAUGUUUAAUGCUCAUCUGUCUCCUAGGACAAACAACUGUCUGAAGAAGAAGGGUGGCCACAACAACGAGGUCUUAUACUAAUUAAAUCUUUAUCAUUUUUUUUUAUUUGAGUUAAUUACUGUGUUUUUUUUUUGUUUUUUCCUCCACUGUAUUGUUAUAAUAAAUUCUGAAAUAAUUUUUUUUUCCUUCAUGUGGUCGAGGAAGGAGAAGGUGCCACAAUAGGAGUAAUAUGUUAUAAUAGAAGAUUCAUUUUAUUUAUUUAUUAGAUUUUCAGCUUUCGGAAAACGUUUUGUUUUUUUUUAGACUAUAAUAUUUAGAUUGUAAUUUUUUUUUAGCAUUGUAAUUAAACUUGAUAUAUCAAUUUAAAUUUGAGAAUUCCUGACUCAACUCUUUACUUAGCUCAAAUUUUUAAUUAAAUUGUGUGAGGGGUUGUUCUGAUAUGACCUUAUUAAUUAAGCAUGUUUUUUUUUUAAAUAAAAAAAUAUGCCAGAUUAACCUUAGUUAACUUGUUAAAUCUGUAAUGGAUUCUAUUGGGUCGAAUUAAUUUUUUAUAUUUUAUUAUAUGAUAAAAAAAAUAUAAAAAUCAAUUUUUAAUCAAUCUAAUACUAAAUGAUAAAAUUUUAUAAAAAUUCAAUAUUAAAUAAUGAUUUUUUUAUAAAAAAAACUAAAAGAUAUAAAAAAAACUUAAAGUACAAACUAAAAAGAAGAUUAGAUGUAUGAGUUUGAGUAAUCCAGCAUAAUUGCACCUAUUACUGAAAAACCAAGGACAUUGACCUCAAACAGGCCCAUGCUUCUGGAUAAUUUUUUUUCUUUUUAGAAGGUUGGAAUAAGAUGUGAACGACCUCCUCUUUUUUUUUUUUUUAAAUAAAAAAUACAUAAACAACAUAUCAUCUAUUUUAUAAAAUAUAAUAUUGUUCCCAUCAUAGCUUGAUCAUGUGAUCUUUAACUAUUUAAAAACAUGCCAUAACUAAUUAAACUACAAAAUAAAAAUGUUAUAAAAUAAGUAAAAAUAUAUUAAUCUAGUUCACUAUUUAUAAGUUAAACCAAUCCUGCAUUAUUUAGUUGUUUUGUCCUAAAACCAUCUUUAAUAUAUAUAUAUAAUAUUUGAAUGGAUAGAAUAUAAAUAAAAUAAAGGCUCAAUUCAUGAAUACCCUUGCCAACCGCGGCUACAAGUAGAGGCAACUAACACGAGUUCGUGUUGGGCUUUCGAAUUUGAGACCUCUACAUUGGACUUGCUAGAAACCGAAUCAGUGUGAAAAGGCCCAUGUGGCCCAUAACCAUGCUGAAGUCUUCUCGCCGUCAGUCUCCCCAAACGAAAACCCUAGCUGAGCAUGCUAUAAAGUCCUAAUGACACCCAACAACACAGCCGUUCUCAUUUUCAAGAGUGGAAGAUAGAGAGCAAGUAAAGAUGCAGAUCUUUGUGAAAACCCUAACUGGCAAGACCAUUACCCUCGAGGUUGAGAGCAGUGAUACCAUCGAUAAUGUCAAGGCCAAAAUUCAAGACAAGGAAGGUACAUCUUGCCCCCCCUUAUAAUCUCCGACUCUUUCAAAACUGUAAAUGUAAAAAUGUGAGUUUUUUUUUUAUUGGAAAAGGGAUUCCACCGGACCAGCAAAGGUUGAUUUUUGCUGGAAAGCAGCUGGAAGACGGCAGAACUUUGGCUGAUUACAAUAUUCAAAAAGGUUGUUUUCUCUUUUUUUGAAUUGAUUGUUAGUAUUUGUGAAGUUGGCUUUUUCAUGAAAUGAUUAUUAAUUUAUUUUGGUUUGUGUUUUCAUUCAGAAUCAACACUUCAUUUAGUGUUGAGGCUUAGAGGAGGAAUUAUCGAGCCUUCUUUGAUGGCCUUGGCGCGCAAAUACAAUCAAGAGAAGAUGAUUUGCCGCAAGUACGCUGUUUGAUUUUUUUCCAUUAAGUUUAAUGUGUUGCUUUAUGCUUCUUUUGCAAAGUGUUAUCUGACUGCUUUUGCAUCAUAAUUUUCUUUAAUCUUAAAAUAUAAGCAAUGAAAGAGAUAAGAGCCCUUUAAAUAUUUAGUUUAGCUUUUAAUCACAGUUUGAUUGCAAAAUAUGAAUUCAGUAUGCCAAAGAUGUGCUUGUGAUGUUUGAAUGUUUGGGAUUUAAAAAUAUGUGUGUUUGUGUGUCUUGCUUGUUUUGAGGUAUUGUUAUUUCUAUGGGACUUAACUUAGCCUCUACUGCUGUUAAGAGUGCUUUAGAGGUUAUAUAAGUUCCCGAUAUUGAUUUCCAUUCUUCAACUUUAUCAGCUGGUAUUGAUAUGCGGCCAGUUGAUUUUCAUGGUUGGUACAUUUUGUUCUUCUGUGUAGAUUAAAUAUUUUGUUUUUUCUUUUAUAUAAAUGUUUUUGUUUUCAUGGGAUAAUGCAAUUUCUUUUCACUUCUCUAGUAAAUGUGUUGUUAUGAUACUGUGAAAAUGGAUCUCAUAUCAUAUAUUUGUUUCUGGAGAACAUAUUUAUAUUUUUUAUUCUGAACUUUUUUUCAUAGUCACGCCACGACUUGUUUGGAAAGCAGAUUGCUUGUUUUAUAUUAUGUUCCAUUAAUCAUAAUCAUUACUCUUUUUGGUGUCAUUAGAGGGACUUAGUUGAACUCUCUUUUACUGUGUCAGGUUUAAUAGAUAGCAUCCUAGUCCUGAUAUUUAUUUCCUUUUCCAUUUUAUAUUCCUGAUCAACCGGGUCAUUUACCCGCAGUUGAUUUCCUUGGGUGGCUCAUAAUUUUAUAUAUGUACAUGUAUAUUGUAUCAUAUACCGGUGCACAAGGGAGGGGGAUUGACCUGUGUACUGUCAUGGACAGUUAUCUAACCUUCAAUUUUCUUCCUCUAAUUCUUUGGUCUUCAAUUUCAUUUUUUGCUUCAUUUUCAAAACCUCUCUGUCAUCACAUCAGCUAUCAUGAUGAGAUGAAAAAGUAUAGUUCUGAACUCGUAUGUUUGAAUUUUAUCAUAUGGGUAAACACGAAAUGCCUUUAGAGAGCUGUCACUUGUCUGUUGUGUUUUGAAAUUCCAAACUGAGCGCUGCAACUGAAAUGCAUUUUGAAUUUGGAUGAAAUUUUCUUUGCCUGCUAUUGUUGCCUCUCUUUUCUGUUCUUAUAUGGGGUAUUAUAUGGAAUUGUUUGUCUAUCUGCUCAAUUUGUU
rnacentral:lncRNA from 1 species